rnacentral:rRNA from 1 species
GAUGAACGCUGGCGGCGUGCCUAAUACAUGCAAGUCGAGCGAACAGAUGAGGAGCUUGCUCCUCUGACGUUAGCGGCGGACGGGUGAGUAACACGUGGAUAACCUACCUAUAAGACUGGGAUAACUUCGGGAAACCGGAGCUAAUACCGGAUAAUAUAUUGAACCGCAUGGUUCAAUAGUGAAAGACGGUUUUGCUGUCACUUAUAGAUGGAUCCGCGCCGCAUUAGCUAGUUGGUAAGGUAACGGCUUACCAAGGCAACGAUGCGUAGCCGACCUGAGAGGGUGUUCGGCCACCCUGGACCUGAGCCCCGGUCCAGCCUCCUACGGGAGGAAGCAGUAGGGAAUCUUCCGCAAUGGGCGAAAGCCUGACGGAGCAACGCCGCGUGAGUGAUGAAGGUCUCGGAUCGUAAAACUCUGUUAUUAGGGAAGAACAAAUGUGUAAGUAACUAUGCACGUCUUGACGGUACCUAAUCAGAAAGCCACGGCUAACUACGUG